rnacentral:rRNA from 1 species
CUUGGUUAAUCCUACCAGUAGUCAUAUGCUUGUUUGAAAGAUUAAGCCAUGCAUGUGUAAGUAUGAACUAAUUCAGACUGUGAAAUUGUGAAUGGCUCAUUAAAUUAGUUAUAGUUUGUUUGAUGGUAUCUACUACUCGGAUAAUCGUAGUAAUUCUAGAGCUAAUAUGUGCAGCAAACCCCGACCUCUAGAAGGGAUGCAUUUAUUAGAUAAAAGGUCGUGCGGGCUAUGCCCGUUGCUCUAAUGAUUCAUGAUAACUCGACGGAUCGCAUGACCUUUAUGCCGGUGACGCAUCAUUCAAAUUUCUGUCCUAUCAACUUUCGAUGGUAAGAUAGUGGCCUACUAUGGUGGUGACGGGUGACGAACAAUUAGGGUUCGAUUCUGAAGAGGGAGCUUGAGAAAUGGCUACCACAUCCAAGGAAGGCAGCAGGCGCGUAAAUUACCCAAUCCUGACAUAGGGAGGUAGUGACAAUAAAUAACAAUAACGGGCUCUAUAAGUCUAGUAAUUAGAAUGAGUACAAUCUAAAUCCCUUAACGAAGAUUCAUUGGAGGGCAAGCUGGUGCUAGCAGUCGUGAUAAUUCCAGCUCCAAUAGCGCAUAUUUAAGUUGUUGCUAUUAAAAAGCUUGUAGUUGGAACUAGGGUUGGGCCAUCCAAUCUGCCUCACGAUGAGCACCGAUCUACUCAUUCCUACUGUUGGCGAUGCGCUCCUAGACUUAAUUGUCGAGGUCAUUCCUCCGGCGCUAUUACUUUGAAAAAAUUAAAGUGCUCAAAGUAGGUACAUUAGCAUGGGAUAACAUCAAAGGAUUUCGGUCCUAUUGUGUUGGCCUUUGGGAUCGAAGUAAUGAUUAACAGGGACAGUCGGGGGCAUUUGUAUUUCAUAGUCAGAGGUGAAAUUUUUGGAUUUAUAAAAGAUGAACAACUGCGAGAGCAUUUGCCAAGGAUGUUAUAAUUAAUCAAGAAUGAAAGUUAGGGGCUCGAAGACGAUCAGAUACCAUCCUAGUCUCAACCAUAAACGAUGCCGACCAGGGAUCGACAGAUGUUACUUUUAGGACUCCACCGGCACCUUAUGAGAAAUCAAAGUCUUUGGGUUCCGAGGGGAGUAUGGUCGCAAGGCUGAAACUUAAAGGAAUUGACGGAAGGGCACCACUAGGAGUGGAGCCUGUGGUUUAAUUUGACUCAACACGGGGAAACUUACCAGGUCUAGACAUAGUAAGGAUUGACAGACUGAGAGCUGUUUCUUAAUUCUAUUGGUGGUGGUGCACGAUCAUUCUUAGUUGGUGGAGCGAUUUGUCUGGUUAAUUUCGUUAACGAAUGAGACCUCAGCCUGCUAACUAGCUACGCGGAGGUGAUCCUUCAUGGCUAGCUUCUUAGAUGGACUAUGGCCGUUUAGGCCAAGGAUGUUUGAGGCAAUAACAGGUCUGUUAUGCCCUUAGAUGUUCUGGGCCGCACGCGUGCUACACUGAUGUAUUCAAUGAGUCUAUAUCCUUGGCCGACAGGCUCGAGUAAUCUUUGAAAUUUCAUCGUGAGGGGAUAGAUCAUUGCAAUUGUUGGUCUUCAACGAGGAAUUCCUAGUAAGCAUGAGUCAUCAACUCGCGUUGACUACAUCCCUGCCCUUUGUACAUACCACCCAUUGCUCCUACCGAUUGAGUGGUCCGGUGAAGUGUUCGGAUCACGACGACGUGGACGGUUCACCACUUGUAACCUUGUAAGAAGUCCACUGAACCUUAUCAUUUAGAGGAAGGAGAAUUCAUAACAAGGUUUUCGUAGGUGAACCUGCUGAAG